AAGUGAAAAAGGACACAGAGGGGAUUCAGCAGGAAUGUAGCUCUUUAAACUUUCUGCUUUUUUCUGCCCUUUGCACAUUUUUAGAUUGACAUCUGGAAAUUUAUCAUCGUAAGUUCAAAGAGAGGUCUUAUCCAUUCUACCCUGCAGUACUCUGGAAUGUCAGAGAAGAAGCCCUAAGUCAUGAGGAGAUUCAAGAUUCUUUUCUCCUGGAAAGUAUUUUGAAGAUCAUUGUGAAAGGAAAGGCGGGAAAGGAGAGCCAGAAUGACUUUUCAGGCUCAGGAAAACAGAUCAGUUUUCCAGAACAGUCCAUAUGCGAAGGCUGGGUGGAGUGUUGUUGCUCUGCUCCCCUGAAUACCUGGCUUCCCACCUCAUGAUCCCAGAUGGCAGCUUCCCAUUCUACUAUCUGGUUUGCAUCCCAGCCAGGGAGAAGGAUGCAAACAGGAAGGUGAUGGUAUGUAAUUUUCUUUUAAAGGCACAGUCUACAAGUAACACGCUUCAUUCCAUUCACACCCCGGUGGCUCGACCCAGCAAAGGCUUUGUGAACUUCAGCAAGGCUGCCAUUUGCCCAGCUACCAGAGUUGGAAGACUGUGGUUUGGGAUCCAUCAACUUUUUUUCUUGGUAAAUUAACUUUUAUGUAGCAUAGCUACUCCCAUUCAUUUAUGUUGUCUAUGUUGCUUUCUGGAUAUUAUGCCACUGUUAUUGCCACUGUUAUGAAUGGCUCUGAUAAAAUUGGAUAACCCAUAAAACUUAAAA